rnacentral:rRNA from 1 species
AUGUACGGGUCCUCCACCUCUAACCUCCCCCGGCGCAAGCUGAAGCGACAGCAGUGGCAGGGAGGAGCAGACCAAGCCGCCCAAGAAGCGUUGGAUCAAGUCAUGAAAGGUGUCGAUGUAUUCGUUUUGCGCCAAAUUUUAUUUCGUCGGUGUAACGUGAGUUCUGCUCUUUUUCAGAUUGCUGGGACUGGGAGGAGCGAUGCCAGUGGCGGAGACAAGCCUAGGGCAGUUGGGGCUAUAGCCCUAGGCGUAAUACCAAUAUCCUUUGUAAUUCCUUUUUAUACACAACAUAUAAAACCACUAGAGUGUAUCACUCAAGCUAGCUUAGCCCUAGGCGUAAUCUCAUGCUAG